CACUUUGGAGAAGUUGUUAUAAACUUAAUUUCAGUGGCUCAAAAUAGGAAGAAAAUCUUCACAAUUUCCUGCAUGUUGGAGUUUAGGAAAUGCCUAUGGCAGGCAUUGAGCUGAAUAAUAAUAAUUUCCUUCAAGUUAUUUUAUAACCAUCUUGUCAUCAGUGUCGUUUUGACAAAUUUCCAAGUUUUUUUGGUUAUGGCUUCCACGACUACAACUCCUKCUUGGGUAUUUAUAAUUAUUGGUGUUGGAGGUGCAUUGUUAUUGCUUGUCAUAGUAUGGAUUGUUUGCAAGUGCAGACAAAGGUAUCAGAUUGACUACUCAGCUUUGGAUGAAGAGCGAAGUUUGCUACAGAAAUGGGAGGAUGAGAAAAGAGUGCAGAAAAA